rnacentral:misc_RNA from 1 species
AAAGUCGUAACAAUGUUUCCGUAGGUGAACCUGCGGGAUCAUUAACAACGUAUCCUAAAACGUAGAAAAAACCCCCCCGUGAAUAUUCAAUGAACCCGAUAUGCCAUGCGGCAAGGCAUGAUAUAACCUGGACUGGGCAUUGUUUGUGUAAGGGUGGCGUUUAAAACAACGAUUGCUGGAGACCACCACGGUCGGCAACCAGGUCAUUGAGCUUUACGCUCCCCUAAAACCCGAUAUGACGAUUAGGCUCCCGUCGAACGACCUGGUGGGCAAACCAAUAUACGACUGUUAACAAUGGAUAUCUCGGGUCUC